GUGCCAGCAGCCGCGGUAAUACGAAGGUCCCAAGCGUUAUCCGGAUUUAUUGGGUUUAAAGGGUGCGUAGGCGGGCUAUUAAGUCAGUGGUGAAAUCUCCAUGCCUAACAUGGAAACAGCCAUUGAUACUGAUGGCCUUGAGUACAUUUGAAGUGGGCGGAAUGUGUCAUGUAGCGGUGAAAUGCUUAGAUAUGACACAGAACACCGAUUGCGUAGGCAGCUCACUAAUCUGUAACUGACGCUGAGGCACGAAAGCGUGGGGAGCGAACAGGAUUAGAUACCCCUGUAGUCC
rnacentral:rRNA from 1 species